GGGUUCUCUGUGUAGCCCUGGCUGUCCUGGAACUCACUCUGUAGACCAGGCUGGCCUUGAACUCAGAGAUCCACCUACUUCUGCCUCUUGAGUGCUGGGAUUAAAGGCAUGAGCCACCACUGC
rnacentral:miRNA from 14 species